UACGAAGGGGGCUAGCGUUGCUCGGAAUUACUGGGCGUAAAGCGCACGUAGGCGGUCUUUUAAGUCGGGGGUGAAAUCCUGGAGCUCAACUCCAGAACUGCCUUCGAUACUGGAAGACUUGAGUCCGGGAGAGGUGAGUGGAACUGCGAGUGUAGAGGUGAAAUUCGUAAGAUAUUCGCAAGAACACCAGUGGCGAAGGCGGCUCACUGGCCCGGUACUGACGCUGAGGCACGAAAGCGUGGGGAGCAAACAGGG
rnacentral:rRNA from 1 species